ACGAACGCUGGCGGCGUGCCUAAUACAUGCAAGUUGAGCGCUGAAGGUUGGUACUUGUACCAACUGGAUGAGCAGCGAACGGGUGAGUAACGCGUGGGGAAUCUGCCUUUGAGCGGGGGACAACAUUUGGAAACGAAUGCUAAUACCGCAUAAAAACUUUAAACACAAGUUUUAAGUUUGAAAGAUGCAAUUGCAUCACUCAAAGAUGAUCCCGCGUUGUAUUAGCUAGUUGGUGAGGUAAAGGCUCACCAAGGCGAUGAUACAUAGCCGACCUGAGAGGGUGAUCGGCCACACUGGGACUGAGACACGGCCCAAACUCCUACGGGAGGCAGCAGUAGGGAAUCUUCGGCAAUGGACGAAAGUCUGACCGAGCAACGCCGCGGGAGUGAAGAAGGUUUUCGGAUCGUAAAACUCUGUUGGUAGAGAAGAACGUUGGUGAGAGUGGAAAGCUCAUCAAGUGACGGUAACUACCCAGAAAGGGACGGCUAACUACGUG
rnacentral:rRNA from 1 species